rnacentral:rRNA from 1 species
GUUUACGGGAUUGUGUGCCGACGUGCGCCAUCCAUCCUUCGAGAGAACACUUCUACCCUUCACUGGGUCGGGAGUGCUAUCUCGAUCUUUUACUUUGAAAAAAUUAGAGUGUUUAAAGCAGGCUUGCGCUAUGAAUACAUUAGCAUGGAAUAAUAAUUUAGGACUUUGGUCUUAUUUUGUUGGUUUCUAGGACUAAAGUAAUGAUUGAUAGGGACAGUUGGGGGUGCUAGUAUUCGGCGGC